AUUGAACGCUGGCGGCAGGCUUAACACAUGCAAGUCGAGCGAGACGCGGGCGGGUGAGUAAUGUCUGGGAACCUGCCCGAGGGAGGGGGAUACCUACUGGAAACGGUAGCUAAUACCGCAUACCCUCAGAUGUACCCAGAUGGGAUUAGCUUGUAGGUGGGGUAAUGGCACACCAAGGCCACGAUCCCUAGCUGGUCUGAGAGGAUGACCAGCCACACUGGAACUGAGACACGGUCCAGACUCCUACGGGAGGCAGCAGUGGGGAAUAUUGCACAAUGGGGGAAAGCCUGAUGCAGCCAUGCCGCGUGUGUGAAGAAGGCCUUCGGGUUGUAAAGCACUUUCAGCGAGGAGGCGUUACUCGCAGAAGAAGCACCGGCUAACUCCGUGCCAGCAGCCGCGGUAAUAC
rnacentral:rRNA from 1 species